rnacentral:rRNA from 1 species
GUGGGGAAUAUUGCACAAUGGGCGAAAGCCUGAUGCAGCGACGCCGCGUGAGCGAUGAAGUAUUUCGGUACGUAAAGCUCUAUCAGCAGGGAAGAUAAUGACGGUACCUGACUAAGAAGCACCGGCUAAAUACGUGCCAGCAGCCGCGGUAAUACGUAUGGUGCAAGCGUUACCCGGAUUUACUGGGUGUAAAGUGAGCGUAGGCGGCGUGGUAAGUCAGAAGUGAAAGCCCCGGGCUCAACCCCGGGACUGCUUUUGAAACUAUCAUGCUAGAGUGUCGGAGAGGUAAGUGGAAUUACUAGUGUAGCGGUGACAUGCGUAGAUAUUAGGAGGAACACCAGUGGCGAAGGCGGCUUACUGGACGAUAACUGACGCUGAGGCUCGAAAGCGUGGGGAGCAAACAGGAUUAGAUACCCUAGUAGUCC